CGGCACCGGCACCGGCACCGGCGCGGGUGAGUGGUCGCGGCGGGGUCCCGAGCAGCGGGGCCGGCGGGACGCGGCUUCCCCAGCCCGGCCCCGCCACGCUCACCCUGCCCGGGGCGGCGGCUCCCCCUCCUGUCCCCUCAGGCUCCCCGGGGUCGCUGCCGGAGCCUGAGAAACCCAGGAAGGGGAAGAAGGAAAAACCCCCCAAGAAACCCAAGGAGAGACCCCGGGGCCCCAAGAAGGAUAAGGACAAGGACAAGGUCAGGGACAAAGACCGGGGCAAGAACAAACCCCCCAAGAAAUCCAAGGAGAAGCCACCGAAAGGCUCAGAAAACCCAUCAAAAGGCUCCGAAAAACCCCCAAAAGGCUCCAAAAAGCCCAAGGAGAAGCCGCCCAAGGAGAAGCCACCCAAGGCCACCAAAUCCUCUGGCAAGAAACCACCGGUGCCACCAAGCCCCCCCACUGUCCACCAGCCCUCACAGGGCAAGGAGAAUGAAGAGAUCCCCGAGUUCCUGGAGCCUUCUCACAAGGAGGAGGAGGAGGAGGAUGGAGGUGUCCGAGGAGAGCUGGAAGAGCCACCAAAUGAGCGCUGGGGGCCGGGCGGGGAGGACUGGAACCCUGAGCCCCAGCCAGAGGUUCCCGAGGAGCCGGAGCCGCCGACCCUGGACUACAACGAGCAGCUGGAGCGGGAGGACUACGAGGACUUCGAGUUCGUCCGGCGGCAGCAGAAGCCCCCCAAGCCCCCGGGCAGGAGGAGACCUGAGCGGGUCUGGCCCCGGCCCGAGGAGCCGCGUACGUGGCAGGAUGGGGACACGGGGGCUGGCACUGCUCAGGGUGGGGCUGGGGGCAGCCCCCAGCCUUGGGAACCGGGGAAGUGGCACAGCCUGGAGCUGGGCUGGGCAUGGGGACAGCACAGGGGACCCUGCAGGGGCGUGGGGAUCUCUUGGUGGCACACGGGGGUCCUGAGGGGAUAUAGAGGGGUCCUGUAGGGACACAGAGAACCCUGCAG
rnacentral:lncRNA from 1 species